CAGAGGGUGCAAGCGUUGUUCGGAAUUAUUGGGCGUAAAGGGAGUGUAGGCGGUCUGGUAAGUCUUCUGUGAAAUCUACGGGCUUAGCCUGUAACGUGCAGAGGAAACUGUCAGGCUUGAGUGUCGGAGAGGAUAGGGGAAUUCCCGGUGUAGAGGUGAAAUUCGUAGAGAUCGGGAGGAACACCAGUGGCGAAGGCGCCUAUCUGGCUGACAACUGACGCUGAGACUCGAAAGCAUGGGGAGCAAACAGGAUUAGAUACCCUGGUAGUCCAUGCCGUAAACGAUGAUAGCUAGAUGUGUGAGGUAUUGACCCCUUACGUGUCGAAGCCAACACGAUAAGCUAUCCGCCUGGGGAGUACGGUCGCAAGAUUA
rnacentral:rRNA from 1 species